GACGAACGCUGGCGGCGUGCUUAACACAUGCAAGUCGAACGGAAAGGCCCUGCUUUUGUGGGGUGCUCGAGUGGCGAACGGGUGAGUAACACGUGAGUAACCUGCCCUUGACUUUGGGAUAACUUCAGGAAACUGGGGCUAAUACCGGAUAGGAGCUCCUGCUGCAUGGUGGGGGUUGGAAAGUUUCGGCGGUUGGGGAUGGACUCGCGGCUUAUCAGCUUGUUGGUGGGGUAGUGGCUUACGAAGGCUUUGACGGGUAGCCGGCCUGAGAGGGUGAACGGCCACAUUGGGACUGAGGGACGGCCCAGACUCCUACGGGAGGCAGCAGUGGGGAAUAUGGCACAAUGGGGCGAAGCCUGAGGCAGCAACGCCGCGUGCGGGAUGACGGCCUUCGGGUGGAAAACCGCUUUCGCCUGUAACGAAGCGUGAGUGACGGUAAUGGGUAAAGAAGCACCGGCUAACUACGUG
rnacentral:rRNA from 1 species